AUGCGCUUCUAUCCUUCAAGGCAAGCCUCCUGGAUCCUGCUGGCCGUCUCUCGUCAUGGCAGGGUGAGGAUUGUUGCCAAUGGAAGGGAGUCCGCUGCAGCAACAGAACGGGCCAUCUCAUCAAGCUCAACCUCCGCAACAUCGACAUGGAAGACUACAUGGGCUACUACAUGGACAACAUGGGCUACUACAUGGACAACAUGGACUACUACAUGUACGACAUGGGCUACAUCAACAUGUACGACUACAACUACCCGAACAGGAGCAAAUCAUUGA
rnacentral:rRNA from 1 species